CGGGGAGUAGCGCAGUCUGGUAGCGCACUAGUCUGGGGGACUAGUGGUCGCUGGUUCGAAUCCAGUCUCUCCGACCA
rnacentral:tRNA from 1 species